CCUACGGGAGGCAGCAGUGAGGAAUAUUGGUCAAUGGGCGGGAGCCUGAACCAGCCAAGCCGCGUGAGGGAAGAAGGUACAGCGUAUCGUAAACCUCUUUUGUCAGGGAACAAAGGCGGGGACUAGUCCCCGGAUGAGGGUACCUGAAGAAAAAGCAUCGGCUAACUCCGUGCCAGCAGCCGCGGUAAUACGGAGGGGGCAAGCGUUAUCCGGAUUUACUGGGGGUAAAGGGAGCGCAGGCGGCGUGGCAAGUCAGAUGUGAAAACCCGGGGCCCAACCCCGGGAGUGCAUUUGAAACUGCCAUGCUGGAGUGUCGGAGAGGUAAGCGGAAUUCCUAGUGUAGCGGUGAAAUGCGUAGAUAUUAGGAGGAACACCAGUGGCGGAGGCGGCUUACUGGACGGUAACUGACGCUGAGGCUCGAAAGCGUGGGGAGCAAACAGGAUUAGAUACCCCAGUAGUC
rnacentral:rRNA from 1 species